rnacentral:rRNA from 1 species
CCCUUAGAUGUCCUGGGCCGCACGCGCGCUACACUGAGUGUCUGAGAUACGAGUCUGCCUGGUCCGGCAAGGUCUAGGUAAUCGCUAAAAGACACAUCAUGCUUGGGAUAGAUUAUUGCAAAUAUUAAUCUUGAACGAGGAAUUCCUAGUAAGCGCAAGUCAACAGCUUGCGUUGAUUACGUCCCUGCCCUUUGUACACACCGCCCGUCGCUCCUACCGAUUGAAUGAUCCGAUGAAUACCAUGGAUUGAGAGUACGAAUAGGUUCGCUUAUUUCUGCUUCUCGAGAAGUGGAGUAAAUCUUAUCAUUUAGAGGAAGGAGAAGUCGUAACA